CCGUCCCCUGGGAGUCAGUUCUUAUAUUAUAUAUUACCAGGUACCUGUCUCAGGAGAGAGACUACAUCCCCUGGGAGUCAGUUCUUAUAUUAUAUAUUACCAGGUACCUGUCUCAGGAGAGAGACUACAUCCCCUGGGAGUCAGUUCUUAUAUUAUAUAUUACCAGGUACCUGUCUCAGGAGAGAGACUACAUCCCCUGGGAGUCAGUUCUUAUAUUAUAUAUUACCAGGUACCUGUCUCAGGAGAGAGACUACAUCCCCUGGGAGUCAGUUCUUAUAUUAUAUAUUACCAGGUACCUGUCUCAGG